rnacentral:rRNA from 1 species
AGAAUCAACGCUGGCGGCGUGCCUAACACAUGCAAGUCGAACGAGAAAGUGGAGCAAUCCAUGAGUACAGUGGCGCACGGGUGAGUAACACGUGACUAACCUACCCUGGAGUGGGGGAUAACUGAGGGAAACCUUAGCUAAUACCGCAUAAUACCUACGGGUCAAAGGAGCAAUUCGCUUUGGGAGGGGGUCGCGGCCGAUUAGUUAGUUGGCGGGGUAAUGGCCCACCAAGACAGUGAUCGGUAUCCGGCCUGAGAGGGCGCACGGACACACUGGAACUGAAACACGGUCCAGACUCCUACGGGAGGCAGCAGUGGGGAAUUUGCGCAAUGGGGGAAACCCUGACGCAGCAACGCCGCGUGGAGGAUGAAGUCCUUCGGGACGUAAACUCCUUUCGAUCGGGACGAUAAUGACGGUACCGGAAGAAGAAGCCCCGGCUAACUUCGCGCCAGCAGCCGC